AUGUGACAUUUAAACUGCACUCACAAACUCAUAAAACUGAGGAUGUGAGUUUUCUGAGAGGAGACAUACUUAUUCAUGUACAUAAAAACUAAAAAAUAUGCAUU